UUGAACGCUGGCGGCAUGCUUUACACCUGCAAGUCGAGCGGCAGCGCGGGGGCAACCCUGGCGGCGAGCGGCGAACGGGUGAGUAAUGCAUCGGAACGUAUCCUCGAGUGGGGGAUAACCCAGCGAAAGUUGGGCUAAUACCGCAUGAGCUCUGAGGAGGAAAGCGGGGGACCUGCGAGGGCCUCGCGCUGGAGGAGCGGCCGAUGUCCGAUUAGCUAGUUGGUGGGGUAAAGGCUUACCAAGGCGACGAUCGGUAGCUGGUCUGAGAGGAUGAUCAGCCACACUGGGACUGAGACACGGCCCAGACUCCUACGGGAGGCAGCAGUGGGGAAUUUUGGACAAUGGGGGCAACCCUGAUCCAGCCAUGCCGCGUGAGUGAAGAAGGCCUUCGGGUUGUAAAGCUCUUUCGGACGGAACGAAAUGGGCGGGACUAAUACUCCUGUCUGAUGACGGUACCGUAAGAAGAAGCACCGGCUAACUACGUG
rnacentral:rRNA from 1 species